rnacentral:rRNA from 1 species
GGCUUACCAAGGCGAUGAUGCAUAGCCGAGUUGAGAGACUGAUCGGCCACAUUGGGACUGAGACACGGCCCAAACUCCUACGGGGAGGCAGCAGUAGGGAAAUCUUCCACAAUGGACGAAGUACUGAUGGAGCAAACGCCGCGUGAGUGAAGAAGGUUUUCGGAUCGUAAAGCUCUGUUGUUGGUGAAGAAGGAUAGAGGUAGUAACUGGCCUUUAUUUGACGGUAAUCAACCAGAAAGUCACGGCUAACUACGUGCCCAGCAGCCGCGGGUAAU